rnacentral:rRNA from 1 species
UACGUAGGGUGCAAGCGUUGUCCGGAAUUAUUGGGCGUAAAGAGCUCGUAGGCGGUUUGUCGCGUCUGCUGUGAAAACCCGAGGCUCAACCUCGGGCCUGCAGUGGGUACGGGCAGACUAGAGUGCGGUAGGGGAGAUUGGAAUUCCUGGUGUAGCGGUGGAAUGCGUAGAGAUCCGGAGGAACACCAGUGGCGAAGGCGACACGCUGGGCCGUACCUGACACUGAUGCGCGACAGCAUGGGGAGCAAACAGG